rnacentral:rRNA from 1 species
UAGGGAAUUUUCGGCAAUGGGCGCAAGCCUGACCGAGCAACGCCGCGUGAGGGAUGAAGGUUUUCGGAUCGUAAACCUCUGUCUAGAGGGAAGAUAAUGACGGUACCUCUGGAGGAAGCCACGGCUAACUACGUGCCAGCAGCCGCGGUAAUACGUAGGUGGCAAGCGUUGUCCGGAAUUACUGGGCGUAAAGGGCGUGUAGGCGGCUUUUUAAGUCAGACGUGAAAUCUCUGGGCUUAACCCAGAAAUUGCGUUUGAAACUGGAAGGCUUGAGGAUCGGAGAGGGUAGUGGAAUUCCCAGUGUAGCGGUGAAAUGCGUAGAUAUUGGGAGGAACACCAGUGGCGAAGGCGACUGCCUGGACGACACCUGACGCUGAGGCGCGAAAGCCAGGGGAGCAAACGGG